CUUGGCGUCCGUGGUAAGGAGGCCGCCUUCCCGGCGCGUGACAGAAAGGACAGAUAUGGAUCAUAUAGACUGAAAAUGGGAUGCAUCCACCUUUAUGAAAAUGAAAGAAAUGUUUUAAGUAAGCGCAGGUUGAGCAGGCGAUGGAAUGGUUUGGUGUUGAGCGGGAAUUCUUUUGAUGGAUAUGUAAUGAAACCUUGAGUAUGCAUCUCCAUAUGCAUAACUCACACGUUUUUCCGCUGCAAACACUCUGAAUUUGUUAUCGUAUUGUGGAACUUAUUACUCCUUCUUUUUGUUUAACUUUCACUUGGGUCUAGUCGUUAUGGCAUAAUCGUUUG